CCCAGACUCCUACGGGAGGCAGCAGUGGGGGAUAUUGCACAAUGGGGGGAACCCUGAUGCAGCGACGCCGCGUGGGUGAAGGAGUAUUUCGGUAUGUAAAGCCCUAUCGGCAGGGAAGAAUCAAGACGGUACCUGACUAAGAAGCCCCGGCUAACUACGUGCCAGCAGCCGCGGUAAUACGUAGGGGGCGAGCGUUAUCCGGAUUUACUGGGUGUAAAGGGAGCGUAGACGGCCAUGCAAGUCUGGAGUGAAAGGCCGGGGCGCAACCCCGGGACUGCUCUUGGAACUGUAUGGCUGGAGUGCAGGAGGGGCAGGCGGAAUUCCUGGUGUAGCGGUGAAAUGCGUAGAUAUCAGGAGGAACACCGGCGGCGAAGGCGGCCUGCUGGACUGCGACUGACGUUGAGGCUCGAAAGCGUGGGGAGCGAACAGGAUUAGAUACCCCUGUAAC
rnacentral:rRNA from 1 species